AAUGAACGUUGGCGGUGUGGAUUAGGCAUGCAAGUCGUGCGCGAAACGUAGCAAUACGUGGAGAGCGGCGAAAGGGAGAGUAGUACAUAGGUACGUACCCUCGGGUCUGGGAUAGCGGCGGGAAACUGCCGGUAAUACCAGAUAACGCCUCCGGACCAAAGGUGUGAUUCCACCUGGGGAGCGGCCUGUGGCCUAUCAGCUUGUUGGUGGGGUAACGGCCUACCAAGGCAAAGAGGGGUAUGGGGCGUGAGAGCGUGCCCCCACUCACUGGGACUGAGAUACUGCCCAGACCACUACGGGUGGCUGCAGUCGAGAAUCUUCGGCAAUGGGCGCAAGCCUGACCGAGCGACACCGCGUGCGGGAUGAAGGCCUUCGGGUUGUAAACCGCUGUCGUAGGGGAGGAAGGGCCUGUGAAGAACAGGACUUGACCGAUCCUAGGAGGAAGGGCCGGCUAAUCUCGUGCCAGCAGCCGCCGUAAUAC
rnacentral:rRNA from 1 species